rnacentral:rRNA from 1 species
GAUGAACGCUGGCGGCGUGCCUAAUACAUGCAAGUCGAGCGAACAGACGAGGAGCUUGCUCCUCUGACGUUAGCGGCGGACGGGUGAGUAACACGUGGAUAACCUACCUAUAAGACUGGGAUAACUUCGGGAAACCGGAGCUAAUACCGGAUAAUAUAUUGAACCGCAUGGUUCAAUAGUGAAAGACGGUUUUGCUGUCACUUAUAGAUGGAUCCGCGCCGCAUUAGCUAGUUGGUAAGGUAACGGCUUACCAAGGCAACGAUGCGUAGCCGACCUGAGAGGGUGAUCAGCCACACUGGAACUGAGACACGGUCCAGACUCCUACGGGAGGCAGCAGUAGGGAAUCUUCCGCAAUGGGCGAAAGCCUGACGGAGCAACGCCGCGUGAGUGAUGAAGGUCUUCGGAUCGUAAAACUCUGUUAUUAGGGAAGAACAAAUGUGUAAGUAACUAUGCACGUCCUGACGGUACCUAAUCAGAAAGCCACGGCUAACUACGUG